GGAGGAAAAGAAACUAACAAGGAUUCCCCUAGUAACUGCGAGUGAAGAGGGAAAAGCUCAAAUUUAAAAUCUGGCGGCAUUUAGCCGUCCGAGUUGUAAUCUAGAGAAGUGUUACCCGCGCCGGACCGUGUAUAAGUCUCCUGGAAUGGAGCGUCAUAGAGGGUGAGAAUCCCGUCUUCGACACGGAUCCCCGGGGCUUUGUGGUGCGCUCUCAACGAGUCGAGUUGUUUGGGAAUGCAGCUCAAAAUGGGUGGUAAAUUCCAUCUAAAGCUAAAUAUUGGCGAGAGACCGAUAGCGAACAAGUACCGUGAGGGAAAGAUGAAAAGAACUUUGGAAAGAGAGUUAAACAGUACGUGAAAUUGCUGAAAGGGAAACGCUUGAAGUCAGUCGCGUCGUCUGGAAAUCAACCUUGCUCUUUUGCUGGGCGUACUUUCCAGUUGACGGGCCAGCAUCAGUUUUGACCGGUGGAAAAAGUCCAAGGGAAUGUGGCACCUUCGGGUGUGUUAUAGCCUUUGGUCGUAUACAUCGAUUGGGACUGAGGAACUCAGCACGCCGAAAGGCCGGGUCUUCGGACCACGUUCGUGCUUAGGAUGCUGGCAUAAUGGCUUUAAUCGACCCGUCUUGAAACACGGACCAAGGAGUCUAACAUGCCUGCGAGUGUUUGGGUGGAAAACCCGAGCGCGUAAUGAAAGUGAAAGUUGAGAUCCCUGUCGCGGGGAGCAUCGACGCCCGGACCAGACGUUCUCUGACGGAUCCGCGGUAGAGCAUGUAUGUUGGGACCCGAAAGAUGGUGAACUAUGCCUGAAUAGGGUGAAGCCAGAGGAAACUCUGGUGGAGGCUCGUAGCGAUUCUGACGUGCAAAUCGAUCGUCAAAUUUGGGUAUAGGGGCGAAAGACUAAUCGAACCAUCUAGAC
rnacentral:rRNA from 1 species